rnacentral:rRNA from 1 species
AGAGUUUGAUCCUGGCUCAGGAUGAACGCUGGCGGCGUGCUUAACACAUGCAAGUCGAACGAAGCACUUUGAUCGAUUUCUUCGGAUUGAAAUUUUAGUGACUGAGUGGCGGACGGGUGAGUAACGCGUGGGUAACCUGCCUCACACAGGGGGAUAACAGUUGGAAACGGCUGCUAAUACCGCAUAAGCGCACAGUACCGCAUGGUACAGUGUGAAAAACUCCGGUGGUGUGAGAUGGACCCGCGUCUGAUUAGCUAGUUGGCAGGGUAACGGCCUACCAAGGCGACGAUCAGUAGCCGACCUGAGAGGGUGACCGGCCACAUUGGGACUGAGACACGGCCCAAACUCCUACGGGAGGCAGCAGUGGGGAAUAUUGCACAAUGGGGGAAACCCUGAUGCAGCGACGCCGCGUGAGCGAAGAAGUAUUUCGGUAUGUAAAGCUCUAUCAGCAGGGAAGAAGAAAUGACGGUACCUGACUAAGAAGCACCGGCUAAAUACGUGCCAGCAGCCGCGGUAAUACGUAUGGUGCAAGCGUUAUCCGGAUUUACUGGGUGUAAAGGGAGCGCAGGCGGAAGGCUAAGUCUGAUGUGAAAGCCCGGGGCUCAACCCCGGUACUGCAUUGGAAACUGGUCAUCUAGAGUGUCGGAGGGGUAAGUGGAAUUCCUAGUGUAGCGGUGAAAUGCGUAGAUAUUAGGAGGAACACCAGUGGCGAAGGCGGCUUACUGGACGAUAACUGACGCUGAGGCUCGAAAGCGUGGGGAGCAAACAGGAUUAGAUACCCUGGUAGUCCACGCC